GCACCCAUAGUUCAACGGAUAGAAUAUAGCCCUCCGAAGGCUGGGAUUGUGGUUCGAUUCCACAUGGGUGCA
rnacentral:tRNA from 1 species